rnacentral:rRNA from 1 species
CGGGGUGGAGUAAUGUCUGGGAAACUGCCUGAUGGAGGGGGAUAACUGCUGGAAACGGUAGCUAUACCGCAUAACGUCGCAAGACCAAAGAGGGGGACCUUCGGGCCUCUUGCCAUCGGAUGUGCCCAGAUGGGAUUAGCUAGUAGGUGGGGUAACGGCUCACCUAGGCGACGAUCCCUAGCUGGUCUGAGAGGAUGACCAGCCACACUGGAACUGAGACACGGUCCAG